rnacentral:rRNA from 1 species
UGAAAGCGCAAAGGGCGUAUGGCGGAUGCCUACGCACCAAAUGGCGAAGAAGGACGUGGCGAACUGCGAUAAGCCUCGGGUAGCUGUAAGCGAGCUUUGAUCCGGGGAUUUCCGAAUGGGGCAACCCGGCAGGUUGGAGACCUGUCAUCCUUUUAAGGAAGCGAACGUGGUGAACUGAAACAUCUUAGUAGCCACAGGAAAAGAAAGUAACAACGAUUCCCUGAGUAGCGGCGAGCGAACGGGGAUUAGCCUAAACCAGCAAUAGCUGGGGUAGUGGGACAGCGAUAUCUCACCAUAAACUUAUAGACGAACCGUUCUGGAAAGUUCGACCAUAGAGGGUGAAAGUCCUGUAGUCGAAAUAGGUUUAUGGGGGUAGCUGCAUCCCGAGUAGUCCGGGACACGUGAAAUCUUGGAUGAAUCUGCGAGGACCAUCUCGUAAGGCUAAAUACAUUUGGUGACUGAUAGCGUAGCAGUACCGUGAGGGAAAGGUGAAAAGAACCCCGGGAGGGGAGUGAAAUAGAACCUGAAACCGUAUGCCUACAAGCGGUCAGAGCGGGACAUUAUGUUCUGUGAUGGCGUGCCUUUUGCAUAAUGAGCCAACGAGUUAAUAUCAUAAGCGAGGUUAAGUAUUACAGGUAUGGAGCCGCAGCGAAAGCGAGUGUUAAUAGCGCGUAUAGUUUAUGGUAUUAGACCCGAAACCAGGUGAUCUACCCAUGGUCAGGUUGAAGGUUGGGUAAAACCAACUGGAGGACCGAACCAACCGUCGUUGAAAAGGCGGUGGAUGAACUGUGGGUAGGGGUGAAAGGCCAAUCAAACCUGGAGAUAGCUGGUUCUCUCCGAAACAUAUUUAGGUAUGGCCUCAGGUUAAUAUUAACGGAGGUAGAGCACUGAAUGGGCUAGGGGGCUUACAGGCUUACUGAACCCAAUCAAACUCCGAAUGCCGUUAAUCAAUGCCUGGGAGACAGGGCGUGAGGGAUAAGCUUCACGUGCGAGAGGGGAACAACCCAGACUGUCAGCUAAGGCCCUUAAAUAGAUGCUUAGUGCGUAAGGAUGUUCAAUUGCCCAGACAGCCAGGAUUUUGGCUUAGAAGCAGCCACGAUUUAAAGAGUGCGUAACAGCUCACUGGUCGAGUGGUAGAGCACCGAAGAUGAUCGGGACUUAAGCAUUUUGCCGAAGCUACGGAAUUAUACCUUUUGGUAUAGUUGGUAGGAGAGCGUUGUGAACUGCGCAGAAGGUGAGUUGUGAGACUUGCUGGAGCGUUCACAAGAGACCAUGUUGGCAUGAGUAACGAUAAUGCAGGCGAGAAACCUGCACACCAUAAGCCCAAGGAUUCCUGAGUAAAGUUAAUCUGCUCAGGGUUAGUCGGCCCCUAAGGUGUAGCCGUUUGGCGAAGCUGAUGGGAAUCGGAUUAAUAUUUCCGAACCUGUGUAUCAAGCGAUGGAGUGACGCGAUGUUGCAGCGGGGACGGCUGCUGGAAUAGCCGUUGAAUUCGUGUAGGAGGUGUCCCAGGCAAAUCCGGGGCACAUAUACUCCGAGGCGCAGGACGAAGCUUAAGCUACAAAGCCCGUGUAUAUAUAUCGCCGAGAAAUAGCUUCUAAGCAUAUUGAUAUACAGACCGUACCGCAAACCAACACAGGUAGGCGAGGAGAGUAUCCUCAGGUGUUCGAGCAAACUCUGGUUAAGGAACUAGGCAAAAUCACCCCGUAACUUUGGGAGAAGGGGUACCCCGUUAUUGUGAAGGACUUCGCGUCCGGAGCGAGAGGGGGUCGCAGUGAAUAGGCCCAAGCGACUGUUUAUCAAAAACACAGGUCUAUGCGAAGGGGAAACCCACGGUAUAUAGACUGACGCCUGCCCGGUGCCGGAAGGUUAAAUGGAGAGGUUAGCGUCUUCGGAUGCGAAGCUUUGAAAUGAAGCCCCGGUAAACGGCGGCCGUAACUAUAACGGUCCUAAGGUAGCGAAAUUCCUUGUCGGGUAAGUUCCGACCUGCACGAAUGGUGUAACGACUUGGGCGCUGUCUCAACCAGGGGCUCGGUGAAAUUGAAGUAGCGGUGAAGAUGCCGCUUACCCGCGAACGGACGGGAAGACCCCGUGAACCUUUACUGCAACUUGGCAUUGUAAAUUGGUGCAGUAUGUGUAGGAUAGGUGGGAGGCUAUGAAGCGUGUACGCCAGUAUGCGUGGAGCCAUCGUUGAAAUACCACCCUUAUUGUAUUGGUUUACUAACGAUGCUAAAG